rnacentral:rRNA from 1 species
CGCACAGUAAACGAUGAAUACUAGCUGUUUGCGAUACAAUGUAAGCGGCACAGCGAAAGCGUUAAGUAUUCCACCUGGGGAGUACGCCGGCAACGGUGAAACUCAAAGGAAUUGACGGGGGCCCGCACAAGCGGAGGAACAUGUGGUUUAAUUCGAUGAUACGCGAGGAACCUUACCCGGGCUUGAAUUGCAUCUGAAUAAUCAUGAAAGUGGUUAGCCAGCAAUGGCAGAUGUGAAGGUGC